UACAGAGGGGGCAAGCGUUGUUCGGAAUUACUGGGCGUAAAGGGCGCGUAGGCGGCCUGCUAAGUCGAACGUGAAAUCCCCGGGCUCAACCCGGGAACUGCGUCCGAUACUGGUGGGCUUGAAUCCGGGAGAGGGAUGUGGAAUUCCAGGUGUAGCGGUGAAAUGCGUAGAUAUCAGGAAGAACACCCGUGGCUAAGGCGGCUCUCUAGUACAGGUACUGACGCUGAGACGCGAAAGCGUGGGGAGCGAACAGG
rnacentral:rRNA from 1 species